rnacentral:rRNA from 1 species
AGAGUUUGAUCAUGGCUCAGAUUGAACGCUGGCGGCAUGCCUUACACAUGCAAGUCGAACGGCAGCACGGGAGCUUGCUCCUGGUGGCGAGUGGCGAACGGGUGAGUAAUAUAUCGGAACGUGCCCUAGAGUGGGGGAUAACUAGUCGAAAGAUUAGCUAAUACCGCAUACGAUCUAAGGAUGAAAGUGGGGGAUCGCAAGACCUCAUGCUCGUGGAGCGGCCGAUAUCUGAUUAGCUAGUUGGUGAGGUAAAGGCUCACCAAGGCGACGAUCAGUAGCUGGUCUGAGAGGACGACCAGCCACACUGGAACUGAGACACGGUCCAGACUCCUACGGGAGGCAGCAGUGGGGAAUUUUGGACAAUGGGCGCAAGCCUGAUCCAGCAAUGCCGCGUGAGUGAAGAAGGCCUUCGGGUUGUAAAGCUCUUUUGUCAGGGAAGAAACGGUUCUGGUUAAUACCCGGGGCUAAUGACGGUACCUGAAGAAUAAGCACCGGCUAACUACGUGCCAGCAGCCGCGGUAAUACGUAGGGUGCAAGCGUUAAUCGGAAUUACUGGGCGUAAAGCGUGCGCAGGCGGUUGUACAAGACAGAUGUGAAAUCCCCGGGCUUAACCUGG